GACGAACGCUGGCGGCGUGCUUAACACAUGCAAGUCGAACGGAAAGGCCCUGCUUUUGUGGGGUGCUCGAGUGGCGAACGGGUGAGUAACACGUGAGUAACCUGCCCUUGACUUUGGGAUAACUUCAGGAAACUGGGGCUAAUACCGGAUAGGAGCUCCUGCUGCAUGGUGGGGGUUGGAAAGUUUCGGCGGUUGGGGAUGGACUCGCGGCUUAUCAGCUUGUUGGUGGGGUAGUGGCUUACCAAGGCUUUGACGGGUAGCCGGCCUGAGAGGGUGACCGGCCACAUUGGGACUGAGAUGCGGCCCAGACUCCUACGGGAGGCAGCAGUGGGGAAUAUUGCACAAUGGGCGGAAGCCUGAUGCAGCAAAGCCGCGUGCGGGAUGACGGCCUUCGGGUCGUAAACCGCUUUCGCCUGUGACGAAGCGUGAGUGACGGUAAUGGGUAAAGAAGCACCGGCUAACUCCGUG
rnacentral:rRNA from 1 species